GCCCGGAUGGUCUAGAGGUAUGAUUCUCGCUUUGGGUGCGAGAGGUCCCCGGUUCGAUCCCGGGUUCGGGCC
rnacentral:tRNA from 1 species